UUCUGGUCAUUAGUGUUGCAACGUGCAGUGAAGUAUCCAUCAACUCGUUCAAGUCGGUAGAAAGUGAGGUUGAAAACUUUUCAGCAUGAAAAAUGGCCGAAAACUGCUUCUAAAUCGCAUUAAUUUCACGUAAGUCCCCAAUUCCAAGCAUUGGGUCAGCCAUUUUUUCUGAGUAAUGGCUGCCAUGUCCUUGCUUCUCUAAAUGCUUGUAGAAGUCUAGUCUGAUCGAGUUUCAAAGAUGAUAAUCGACAGCCGAACAGGCAAUUAAACCAGCAAGUGUACGAUUGUAUUGUGGAAAGUCAGGUGAAGGAUAGACCAUGAAAAGGUAGAACACAAACGAGUUAUCAUCAUAUUGAUCUUGUUCUUUUACAGGAAGAGAUAUAGGGGUGAA